rnacentral:lncRNA from 1 species
AUCAUGUUCCUCGUACACUGCACCAGCACCACUGCUUCCCUUCCCAGUGAGAACCCGAUCAAGCUUUAUCAUGCAGCCCAGAAGGGUGGGGGAAAGAAAAAGAAUUAGGAGAAAAUGUUGUAAAAGUAAUGAGAUAAUAUGAGAAUGUGCUUUGGGAACUGCGAAUCUGGAGUCACUGGUCCAUGAGGAAUCUAGGAUAAGAAGAAGGAAGCUGUGAAGAAUGGUUGGCUAACAGUGCUGGCAAGGAAUUCAGAUCAACAUACCUCUCAAAAGAAUGGAAGUCUCUUAAACUCAGGUAAUUGUUAAAUUGGUUCAAGUGUAUUAUGGCAAGAAUGCUUCUCUCUCCUUCCCUAAUAUAACACUGCCCUAAAUGACUCCCUACCUCCCUGUUUUGUCUCACGCUUGACAGUGAAAACAAAGAUAAAUAUUUGAGGAAACAUAAACUCAAUAAUGUCAUUUAUUGGAAAGCUACAGUUUACAGAUUCUUUGCAUUUAUUACCAGAGCUGUUCCUUACAACAACUUUAUCUGAACAGUAUUAUUAGCUACAUGCUGUAGAUGAGAAAAGCAGUGCUCAACGAAACUAACUUGCCCUAGAGUAUCCAUCCAGUAACUGGUGAAGCUGGGAUUUCAACUUCCUUUUCUUUUUUCUUUCUUUUUUUAAAAAUCUUAAUUCUGAAGCUGUUAUGCAUUAUGGAACCUGUGUAGUUCCGUUCUGAGUUCUA